ensembl:lncRNA novel transcript
AGUUAUCAACACUUACUCUCCAAUGCGUCAUCACCCCCAACACUCCUGUGUAUUUCCUGCAAAUAAGGAUCUUCUCCUACAUGGUCAGUCCGAACAACCUUCAGUCACAACUGAGAAGGUCACAUGGUGCAUCACUGCCGCUCAGUCUCCCCAAGCCCAGUGAUUUCUUCACAAUUAGGGAUCUGAGACCCGCAGUAUGGCAGUGACAAGAUCCAAGUCUUGGGACACCUAGCCAGGAGGGAAGAAUUUGAGGGAGAGGUGGAAAAUAUGCGAGGCUGAACUGACCUUCAAGGACAAGAAGGCUGUGUUCAGAUAGACAGAGUUUGUCUUCUGGGAGAGGAGUGGGCUUAUCCAGGAUGAUCCCAAAGGCAGAUUGAGGACCAGUGGGAGGACAUCCUGAGAAAGCAGAUCCAGCUUUAGGCAAGGAAGGACUUCGUAACAGGCAGAGAGCCCAUGUUGGAAACAAGCAGCUCUGCAAGGUGUGGGCCCACUGUCUGACUCCCUGCGGGGCUGCUGCCUUGGAAGAGCCUCCUGCUUAGAGAGGUUCUCCUGCCGCCAGCUGUCUCUCCUGAGUCCUGAGCACCACAUCUCUGGACCGUCUGGAGCCUCCCCUCCCUUGGCUUACUGCUCCCACCACCCUCUCUCUCCACCUUGCAAGAGACACUCUCCCUCAUCCUGGGUCAUCACCCUCUUUAGAGGCGCCGCCUGGCCACGAGGCAUCAGAUGGAGUGCAGCCGGGAGCAAGAUUCUCAUAGCAAUUACAAAGAUUCACAAGAAAAUGUGCCCUCCACUACACAGCUGUAAUUUACAUGCUUUCAAACUUGAUAUGGAAUGACUGUGGUUUCCCCUGAAAGAAGCAUCACUGAUCUCUGCACAGGAGAAACAAGGGUGUGUUAGGAGUUACAUCCACUAACCUCUGGGGCUAGAAUGUUCCUCCUAAUCCCGGAUUACCAGCUUACAACCCCAAUGCCCACUUUCUCAAACAAGCCUCGUCUUUUUAAAGGAUCUUGCUCUGUCACCUAGGCUGGAGUGCAAUGGCACACUCACGGCUCACUGCAGCGUCAAACUCCCAGGCUCAAGUGUUCCUCCUACCUCAGCCUCCUGAGUAGCUAGGACCACAGCACAGGCCCAGACACAAAGCAGAUGUGCAGUGGAGUGUGAAAGAGGCAGCCAACUCACUGGGGAGCUUCAGAGGGAGAUGGCCCAAAUUGCUGGGGCCUAAGAAUCUCCCGGAAUGAAGGAACAGUAGAAAGAACUGGAAGCCAAAUAUGGUGAUAGAGACUCUCAUCAAGGACACUGAGUAAACCAGAAACCUGCUUGGGCUCACGUUCCUUGUCUCUUCUUCUCAGAUCCAGGAAAGGAGCUGUCCAGGACAAUGAGGAUAGGCUGAGGAAAGACAGGCCACGGCCUUGCCUCUGUGCCAGCUCUCAUGGGCCAGGCAGAGUAUCCCAGGACAACUGCCUCCACAACCAGCUCCAUCCUUCAUCAGCAAUUCAGUACCUGAUUAACAAAUCUGUACCCCAGGAGGUUAUGCCAAGUCCAACUUCUUCCAGAGACCACAACAAUAAAUCCAAGCCACUGCUAAUGUCAUUUAUAAGCUGUGGGAUUAAAACAGAGAAGCAAUCAAUUAAUUAAAAUUAGCUCUUUAUUGAAACUAUAAGCAUCUUGCUUCCUAAGAUUCUAGACCAAAUAAGUGACCGCCAAUUCUACUCUUAUAGAAUGAAAGAGUUUGCCAUUUUUAAUGUAAUGAAAUUUUUUCACUCUGAAAUAAGAUUAAUUCAAAAUGGUCUUAGCCUAAAAAAAAUUAUCUUUAUUCACUAGGAAGAAAACACCUCUUAUUACCUAUGUUACAUUUGUCAAGUUACAUUAGCAAUCUGAGUCUUAGUCUCCAUAUUUGUAAAAUGGAAAAAAAUAAUGUAUCCCCCACCUGGCUAUUGUGAAGAUAAAGUAAGAGGACACAUACCAAGUGCCUAAUACAGGGCCUGGAAUAUGGAAGUACCCAGCAAAUAUUCCAUCUCUCCAUUGGGCAAGGCAGUACUGGACAGUACCAAAAGGAGUAUUAAAGGUGGGAGGAAGAAAAUAAGAUCUUGAAGCAGUCAUACACAACAGAAUUCCAAAGUUAUAACCAAAAGGGGUUAGGUAUGUUUUACAGAAAAUGUUUAAGAAGGAUAAGUGAAAAGUAUUAUGUAGAUAUAUUUGUGUAUGAUACGCUUCUGUAAUAGAUACAAUCUGAAUAUGAAA